rnacentral:pre_miRNA from 1 species
CUUGUACUCCCUCCGUCCGAAAAUACUUUUCAUUGAAAUGGAUGUAUCUAGAUGUAUUUUAGUUCUAGACACAUCCAUUUUGAUGACAAGUAAUUCCGGAUGGAGGGAGUACUUU